UGUUUAUAUAAAAACUACUGUAAAAUAAAUGCUCAAGUUUAAGUUUGGAAAGAUGCUGUGGAAUAUGGAAAAAAAUGUUAUGCUGGUAUACUGAAAAUAAUAAAUUUCGUAAAAUUACGAAAAUCGUUUCAUACACUUCAUUUUCGUUGGCCCAACGAAACUUUCGUUGGCUCAACGAAAAUAUGUAAUUUUUCGUAAUAUGAAAACCUUCAUCACUUAAUGAAAACGUUUCAUACACUUUUUCUCCCAUUUUAGAGCCCAAAAAUCCAUUUUAAUGAAAAGAUUCAUCAUUUAACGAAAAAUUUCAUACUCAUUUAAAAGAAAAAAUAAUACUAAUUUAUGAAAAUAAAUUAUUGGCUUAUGAAAAUUCUUCAUAGACUAAUGAAAUUUUACAUCAGCUUAUGAAAAAAUACAUACAUACAAUACAAAAAUAAAUAAUUGCAAAAAAAAAGCACACAGAGCACGCUUUAUUUUCGUUUCAUGUGUGUAUUACUGGUAUUCGAAGUCACAUCUCACAGAUAAUAUUCAACCCCGAAAGUGCGAAGACGCGGAAUAAAUAAAAAAAUAUUGUGUGUUGAAAAAGUUUAAACUUAAGUAGGUACCUAGUAAAGGAACUAAAGGUGUAUAUCGACUUGUGUACUUCAACACCAGAGGCAACAUAUUUUUCGAACGUAUGCUGAAAAAAUGGCGAGAGUCAAUCGGAAUUGAUGAACGAUGAGUAUAAGAAAAUUCCAACGAUGUCAUUCCAAUGUACCUUAUGGGUGGGUACUUAAUCCCGACCCAAAAAAAAACGUUUCUAAAGGUCAAGAAAUGAAUUCUUUGAAGAAGAUACUUAUUUUAUUGAAAUGUUUCUGUGUAUUUAAUUUAAUUUUUUUAUUUCAUGAUUAAAAAUCCAAAAAUUCAAGUUCAAAAUAACAAAUGUUUUUGUUUUUAAUGGUAAAAAGUUUUCGCUCC